ensembl:lncRNA
AGUUCUGCCUGCUGGUAGAAAGGCCUCUUUGUGUCUGACCGUCUGUGCCUUUCCACCGCUGACGUUUAUUUUCCCCUCAGCUGACCGCUUGGUGUGCUGAGCCGCUGCCGUCAUGCUUCAGCUUUGAGAAAGAAAGAAGGAAAAGAAAGAAAGAAAGAAAGAAAGAAAGCCGAGUGGGAAAAAAAAGAGCAAAAGAACGUUUUGGUUUCAGCAGCUGCAGCUUUCAUUUUCACAACUCUCGAGUGUCGCGUCAGCUCAGCGGCCUCGCCGGCUGAAAGCGGCUUCUAAACCGCUCGGGCCUGUGGCUUCUCCUACGCCAGCUUCAUCUGCUGUUUCGGUGCCGGCCAAGGCCACCCAGAACACGCGCGGCUUUCCUUUCCAUUUUUUGGGUUGUUUCGCAUUUAUCGCAAGGCCAUCGAGCCAAAGCCCGCGAGGCAAUUUCCAUCCGCACGAGACGAGGGAGCACAACGCACAACUUUGACUCCCCGGUUCCGGCCCACACAACACACACGGCGAUCCACCAGCAGAGAGAUCUGUCAGUUCAGUUCGGGUUGCUCCAUUAACACACCGGCGGCCCCCACCCAACCACCUCCACCACCACCACGGAGCAUCUGAUGUGGUUGUUGGGGGCCGGAGAAGAAGCAGCGGUGUGUUUGAGAAAAGACUACUUGUUUGUGUGAGGAACACGGCGGACACCACGGAGCAUGAAGCCCUCUCGUCCAUGUGACCGGACGUCUUUCCUCCAGUGACUCCGGCUCUUUGUCUCCCUCUACAGGAACAGGAUCUCCCAGGAGAUGACGAACAGACGUUUAUGUACCUUUCAUUUCUUGUUUCUUUUCCAUCGACGUUUCUUCGGUUUCACGGUUCCUUUCACGGGCCUCCGAGCUGAGCAGCUCCCCCCCCCCGUGUUCUGUUUGGACCCCUGCUUUUAAAUGCCGCUCUCAAUGGGGGGAGGCAGAAAUCAGUAGUUCUCCCUUUGUGAGGAACACGUUUGGCUCGAUGAGACUUGAGGACGCUGGUGGAUUUCAGUGAUUGCCAUCGAUUUAGACUUCACUCCGUGUCAAGAGGCAAGCAGCGGAUUGUAUUUUGGGGACUCAUUUGUUCUCACACCGCGGGAAACCAAAGGCAGGAUCGGUAUGAGGUGUAAUGCUGCCGGCGGUGGUUCGCCGCUAUCUCUCCAAUUUAAUGCUAUUGAUCCAUUUGCCGAAGAAGAGGAAGCUCCAGUUAAAGCUGGUGAUGAAAUCGAAUCAAAAACAUGAUCUGAAUAUAUGAUCAAACAUCUGAUGUUUUCAUUGACGAUGUAUUUGCAAAGUGUGUUCCCAUUGCGGCCUGUUCUAUUCUGUAUUGGUCAACGCACAAAGACAUCAAAUUGUUUUCCGGGUUAAUUAGGAGGCACUUCAUACCGAGAACACAGAGGGAAAGACUUUCUUCUUGUGAAAGUAUUCUACUGGGUUGUAAAGAUAAUGAAAGUCAGACACAAUGUGAUUUUUAACAUUAACUGCUUGUGUGUCCCUCAGAGAGUGACGGAUGCCGGUUAACAAAAUGAGCCCCUCGUUUGCCGUAAACAUAACUCUAUUUACCACCAGGCACGAAAAUGUCCUCGUCAAAGUGACAUUAUAAUAGAUUUUUACGUUCCAUCACACUUCGAGUUCACUGUCAAGUGGCGGCCUUUAAACAAGAUGCUAAACAGCAGCACCUCCCUCGGCUUCUCUCCAAACCACUUUCCAUCAUUGCUGUUGUUUCGUUUUCUAUCCUGAAGAUUCAUUUCCUGCGGGAGCCACAUGUUCAACCAGGGGCAAUCGUCAAUCAUCGGGAGCUGUUUGUGUCACGUUGAAAGGCCGACGAAGAAGGAACUAAACAUUCUAUUAGACGAAAUACAACCGAAAAUUUGGAGAAGGUUUAGCGGUGGACAGUGGCCCUGAUGAAAUAACAGCACAAAGGGGGAGUGCUCAUUGUUCAGCUGUCUGGCCUGCAACUUUUAGGAUUUUUGUUUCAGUCUCCCCUUGACAGUUUGUCAUUUUGGACUCCAGCCGGCAAAAAGCUCUAAAGCCUCCAACGUAAACUACAUAUCUGCUCUGCAUCAGGCAGAGUAACAAAGUGGUGCAUUUAGCGGCUAGAGAGCCUGAUAUUUGCCACAGCGGUUGAUUGAGGCAGAGAAAAGAGCAGAGUGAAUAUUAUGAAUGUAUAAACAUUUUGUCUAUUCUCUGGCCGUCCCUCCCUAGAUCGGUUGAAUUUACUGCAAACGGAUUUGUACUCUUUGUUCGUUCAGCUGCCUGCUUGGUAUCUUGCGUUUGGUUCUACGUCGUAAAACGUCUGCUCUGUUUGGUACCCGGGCCGAACUGUCGAGGUGAUGAAAGCAGGAGCCUCACAGCUGGAAAAAGUCUGAAAGGCCGUCUUCCCCUGAAGGUGGUUCCAGCGGCUCCACUACGAAAAUAAAAAAAGAACUCGGUCUCACCGAGAGAAAACUUUAAAAUAAUGAGCUACAACGCACGCUUGGAUAAAAUCAUUACAAACCAAGAACCUAUUUUUUGGAAGUGAACCGAUUUCAUUCACAAGGUUAAAAAAAACUUUUUCGAUGUUGAAUUUCCCUCUUCAUUGCAACCAAAACACAGAAGACGUCCAUUGAAAUCCUCUGUAAAAUGUCAAACAAGUUUUAGGAACAUUCCCUGUGUCAUAAUAACGCAUUUUACGUUUUCCUCAAUCAUUCUACAAAGAAAGAGAACCUCUGCACACACAUUGUUUAGUUUUUGAACAUUUUUUCGUGCAUCAAUAAUAAAACACAAUCUAUUACAUUUGAAUAUUAUUUUAAAUGUAAUAGAGUCUGGCGGCUCUAUUAUCAGAUAUUAUCAGUCUAAUAUCAGACAAUGCUUAUUGGAAUGAUGGGUAUGUGAUGUGGCCAAAUGUCACCU